rnacentral:piRNA from 1 species
UAACAAAUGUAGAAGUAUGAU